CCGUAUUCUGGGAGCAUCGAAUCAAUAAGAGUCAGUGGGUCAAUGCAUUUCGAGGAAUCAACAAUGUCUGUUCGUCCUGACAGCUCAGGAAUAAAAUGAACAGCUACCAGACAGGACUCUGUGGUGUCUGGAGCUUCCCUGCCUGUCUGCCUGCCUUGCGGAGCUGUUAUGCUCUGUUAAAUCGGCACAUAUUGUACUGGCUGAUGAAUGACAGAUGUUUUAUUCAUGGAGGAAAGAUAGUGUACAUUCUUUGAAGCACAUUCCAGGUUUCAUGAAGAGGGUACAGGAUGGGGGCAGACGGUUUGAAAGGAAAGAAGACUGCCUAAAUUCACCAUUUCAGCCAUUCCUGCCUGCAGAUGAAAAGGUGAUUCUGACAGUCUGUUGAUGCUUCAGUCUCAUAUCUGGGCAAACCCAUCCCCAGCAAAUUAUGUCUUGAUCUGUGUCUCGAAGAAUGUUUCAGACCGCAUUCCUUACGCACACCUGGGAUAUCUGACUGGAGCUCUGAUGAAACAAAUACUGGAAGAACAAAUACAGUACAAUGCAUUUCUUACCCCUUGAA